AUUGAACGCUGGCGGCAGGCCUAACACAUGCAAGUCGAACGAGUGGCGGACGGGUGAGUAAUGUCUGGGAAACUGCAUGCUGGAGGGGGAUAACUACUGGAAACGGUAGCUAAUACCGCAUACCAUCAGAUGUGCCCAGAUGGGAUUAGCUUGUUGGUGGGGUAGAGGCUCACCAAGGCGACGAUGCCUAGCUGGUCUGAGAGGAUGACCAGCCACACUGGAACUGAGAAACGGUCCAGAAUCCUACGGGAGGCAGCAGUGGGGAAUAUUGCACAAUGGGCGAAAGCCUGAUCCAGCCAUGCCGCGUGUGUGAAGAAGGGCUUCGGAUUGUAAAGCACUUUAAGUUGGGAGGCGUUACCAACAGAAUAAGCACCGGCUAACUUCGUGCCAGCAGCCGCGGUAAUUC
rnacentral:rRNA from 1 species